rnacentral:rRNA from 1 species
UACGUAGGGUCCGAGCGUUGUCCGGAAUUAUUGGGCGUAAAGGGCUCGUAGGCGGUUUGUCACGUCGGGAGUGAAAACUCAGGGCUCAACCCUGAGCGUGCUUCCGAUACGGGCAGACUAGAGGUAUGCAGGGGAGAACGGAAUUCCUGGUGUAGCGGUGGAAUGCGCAGAUAUCAGGAGGAACACCGGUGGCGAAGGCGGUUCUCUGGGCAUUACCUGACGCUGAGGAGCGAAAGCGUGGGGAGCGAACAGG